AACGAACGCUGGCGGCAUGCCUAACACAUGCAAGUCGAACGAGACCUUCGGGUCUAGUGGCGCACGGGUGCGUAACGCGUGGGAACCUGCCCUUAGGUUCGGAAUAACUCCCCGAAAGGGGUGCUAAUACCGGAUAAUGUCUUCGGCCCAAAGAUUUAUCGCCUUUGGAUGGGCCCGCGUUGGAUUAGCUAGUUGGUAGGGUAAAAGCCUACCAAGGCGCCGAUCCAUAGCUGGUCUGAGAGGAUGAUCAGCCACACUGGGACUGAGACACGGCCCAGACUCCUACGGGAGGCAGCAGUGGGGAAUAUUGGACAAUGGGCGAAAGCCUGAUCCAGCAAUGCCGCGUGAGUGAUGAAGGCCUUAGGGUUGUAAAGCUCUUUUACCCGGGAUGAUAAUGACAGUACCGGGAUAAUAAGCUCCGGCUAACUCCGUG
rnacentral:rRNA from 1 species